ACACGACUACAUUAGAUACCCCUGUAGUCCCAGCCCUAAACGAUGCGCGUUAGGUGUAUCGGUGACCACGAGUCACCGAGGUGCCGAAGGGAAACCGUGAAACGUGCCGCCUGGGAAGUACGGUCGCAAGGCUGAAACUUAAAGGAAUUGGCGGGGAGCACCACAACGGGUGGAGCCUGCGGUUUAAUUGGACUCAACGCCGGAAAACUCAUCGGGAGCGACAGCAGUAUGAUUGCCAGGUUGAUGACCUUGCUUGACAAGCUG
rnacentral:rRNA from 1 species